rnacentral:rRNA from 1 species
UACAGAGGGUGCAACCGUUGCUCGGAAUCAUUGGGCGUAAAGCGCACGUAGGCGGCUCAGCAAGCGGGGAGUGAAAGCCCUCGGCUUAACCGAGGAAGUGCUUUCCGAACUACUGAGCUUGAAUACCGGAGAGGAUCGCGGAAUUCCCGGUGUAGAGGUGAAAUUCGUAGAUAUCGGGAGGAACACCAGUGGCGAAGGCGGCGAUCUGGACGGAUAUUGACGCUGAGGUGCGAAAGCGUGGGGAGCAAACAGG